UACGGAGGGUGCAAGCGUUAUCCGGAUUCACUGGGUUUAAAGGGCGCGUAGGUGGCCCGUUAAGUGGCUGGUGAAAAUCCCGCGGCUCAACUGCGGGGCUGCCGGUCAUACUGGCGAGCUAGAGCACGGUAGGGGCAGAUGGAAUUCCCGGUGUAGCGGUGGAAUGCGUAGAGAUCGGGAAGAAUACCAGUGGCGAAGGCGUUCUGCUGGGCCGUUGCUGACACUGAGGCGCGACAGCGUGGGGAGCAAACAGG
rnacentral:rRNA from 1 species